rnacentral:rRNA from 1 species
GAGUUUGAUCGUGGCUCAGAUUGAACGCUGGCGGCAGGCUUAACACAUGCAAGUCGAACGGUAACAGGGAGAAAGCUUGCUUUCUUUGCUGACGAGUGGCGGACGGGUGAGUAAUGCUUGGGAAUCUGGCUUAUGGAGGGGGAUAACGACGGGAAACUGUCGCUAAUACCGCGUAAUAUCUUCGGAUUAAAGGGUGGGACUUUCGGGCCACCUGCCAUAAGAUGAGCCCAAGUGGGAUUAGGUAGUUGGUGGGGUAAAGGCCUACCAAGCCGACGAUCUCUAGCUGGUCUGAGAGGAUGACCAGCCACACUGGAACUGAGACACGGUCCAGACUCCUACGGGAGGCAGCAGUGGGGAAUAUUGCACAAUGGGGGGAACCCUGAUGCAGCCAUGCCGCGUGAAUGAAGAAGGCCUUC